GACGUAGGGCGUGAGCGUUGUCCGGAUUUAUUGGGCGUAAAGAGCUCGUAGGCGGCUUGUCGCGUCGACUGUGAAAACCCGAGGCUCAACUUCGGGCUUGCAGUCGAUACGGGCAGGCUAGAGUUCGGUAGGGGAGACUGGAAUUCCUGGUGUAGCGGUGAAAUGCGCAGAUAUCAGGAGGAACACCGAUGGCGAAGGCAGGUCUCUGGGCCGAUACUGACGCUGAGGAGCGAAAGCGUGGGGAGCGAACAGG
rnacentral:rRNA from 1 species